AUGGCUUGCUAUUCACUGAACCCAGAAAACUCCACAAAAUCAUGCAAAUCAAGAGGUUCAAAUUAUCAUGUUCACUUUAAGGACACCCAUGAAAUGGCCCAGGCCAUUGAAAGUAUGCACGUAUGAAAAGCCAUUGAGUAUCUGACAAAUGUCACUUUGUAGAAAGAUGUCUACCAUUUCCAGGUUACCAUGGUAUAGUUGGUAGGUAACGCCCAGGCCAAACAAUGAGGUUGGACACAGGGUUGGUUAUUCAAGAAGGGUGCUGAAUUUUUGCUACAUAUGCUUACAAAUGUAGAGUAAUGCUGAAGUUAGGGAUUUGGAUGUAGAUUCUGUGGUCAUCAAGCAUAUCUAAGUUGACAAAGCACCCAAGAUGCCCACAGGAUUUACAGAGCUCAUGACGGGAUUAACCCAUACAUGAGUGCCCCCUGCCACAUCAAAAUGAUCCUUACUGAAAAGAAGCAAUUUGUUUCUAAACCAGAAAAGGAGGUUGCACAAAAGAAAAUGGUAUUCCAGAAGAAACAAAAACUAUGGCAAGG
rnacentral:lncRNA from 1 species